UGCAGGUUUGAUAGCUAACCAUUCAUUAUUGAAAAUAUAACUGCUGUGUGACAAUUAGGUCAAAAAACUAUAUUUUAUUUUUUGGUAUAGAUGGCCAAGGAAGUUGCACAGAACUUCCCCUCCCAAAUUGAUAUAGAACCUUCACAAAAGCACAUGGAGCAACUGUGAAACUAAAUGGCUGAGGAUAUACUAAAAAUGUCUGGUAUGUAAUGACAUUUGAAUUCAAAGUAAAUGUAAAUUCUUAAUUUGUAUGUAGUUGUGUGGGACAGCCAUAUGUUCAGUUCAUGCCUAUGAUUUGAGUUCAACAAAGCCAACACCUGCUUCUUGUGUGUCACCGAUAAAGAACCUGGAUGUGGCCCAGACUGACUGGGUUAGUAACUUUAUUUAACACGUUUAUAAUCUUUUGACAACAGUGACGGCAUGUAAGACCAUUUUUGAUAACACAAUGGAUGGCUAAUUCGUCAUACGUUAUAAAUAAUAUCAAUGCAGUGUUACGCUUUGUUUUAGAUUUGAUGUUUUGCAUGCCAAGUGGUUCAAUGUGCUGUCCCUAGGACUGAAGACAAGAGUUCAGAGUGAAGAACACAAACUGGAAGUGCUGUCUUUGUUGUUGAAAAUGUAUGCUAUACCCCAUCCACACUGAAGAGGCUCUGAAAUGUACAUCAACCAGGGAUAAAGAGAAAGUCAACACUGAAAUGUUUCAUACUCAUUUGAAUGAAAGUGUCUGACAUUAUUAAAGGUCUACAAUUUCUGCUUAAUUUGUCAAUAUUACAUUUUUAUUCAUUGAUUUACUGGCCACCAUUACUGUGGUUACAUGUUCAGUAUAUGUAUUGACCAGCAAACCCACUGCAGCCUACUUCAAGCUCACUCUCCAUCCCUGCUUUGGACAAUUAAUAACAUGACUCUCGUACUUUGCCCUACUCCUACUUUAUCUGGUGACAACUGCAUGCAUGGCCAUCCUUGUAGAGUUUCCGAGCCUUGUUAUAUAUCUUAUGACACAAUAUUGUAUACUUGUAUAGAGCAGACAAACCCAGUAAUCUGUAAAAGUUUCACCAUGUUACAGGUGGUCCAAAAGCUGUCGAGACCCCUUCACAGAGAAACUGCCCAACAACAGAAAGCCUUUGUUGUGAGGCCAUUGCACUGAUGAAGCAAUUGUAAAGGAGAAGAUGAAGCAGAUGUUUGCUUAUCGCCAAAAGAUGGUUCAUGACCCAGUGAAGUCCUCUGAAAUAUUCACAGCAAUCCAAAGACAUAGCAGGAAUGAUUGAGCAAGAUUUUAGUGAUGCAACCUCUGCAAAGUUCCUGGAGAAGUGGCCUACUCUCUCCAAGCAGAAAGUUAUUGACCAAAGCCGUGGCCUCACAGAUAGGCGACCUGCAAGACCUGGUUCAAGAUGCUGAAUCCACAACAGAAGUGGAAUAUCGUAUGCUGGAAUAAAAGUAUUAUACUAAUGGAAGGGAGCAUUAUUUUUUAAAGCAAAAUGGUAUGAUGUAACUUGUGAAAAUUUAUACUUUCAGGAUGGGACAGUGACAUGUCCUCCAUUUUGGUCCUUGUCCACCUUAUACCACCGUCACCUCAUGGCCACAAGAGACCUGGAAAAAUAUCAGCCAGACACACCAGUAACCACAUUGUGAAGUUUAUCAAGACUGGAACCAGCAUCUGGAGAGCGCCAUGGAAAGCCUUCAACCCUAUCUGCUUGCUGUGGGGAUCCAGAGGAGUGUGAUUCACAAGUACUUCAUUGUGAUUGACAAACAUGCAAUACAUUGUAAGUCACCAGACUCUCUUGCCUGUUUUGAUGAGCUUUUCAAAGCUCACUUUGUCUUUGGUACCUCACAUCUCCCUCACUAGCUUUAAGCACCAGCUGUCAGAGCAGCUUACAGAUCACUGCACAUGUACAUAGCCCAUCUGUAAACAGCCCAUCUACCUACCUCAUCCCCAUACUGGUAUUUAUUUUGCUCCUUUGCACCCCAGUAUCUCUACCUGCACUUUCAUCUUAUGCCAAUCUACCAUGCCAGUGUUUAAUUGCUAUAUUGUAAUUACUUCGCCACCAUGGCCUAUUUAUUUCCUUAAACUUACCUAAUUUGCACUCACUGUA